rnacentral:rRNA from 1 species
GACGGGGACCCGCACAAGCGUGGAUGAUGUGGAUUAAUUCGAUGCAACGCGAAGAACCUUACCUACCCUUGACAUGUCCGGAACUUGCCAGAGAUGGCUUGGUGCCCGAAAGGGAAUCGGAACACAGGUGCUGCAUGGCUGUCGUCAGCUCGUGUCGUGAGAUGUUGGGUUAAGUCCCGCAACGAGCGCAACCCUUAUCAUUAGUUGCUACGCAAGGGCACUCUAAUGAGACUGCCGGUGACAAACCGGAGGAAGUGGGGAUGACGUCAAGUCCUCAUGGCCCUUAUGGGUAGGGCUUCACACGUCAUACAAUGGUCGGUACAGAGGGUUGCCAAGCCGCGAGGCGGAGCCAAUCCCACAAAGCCGAUCGUAGUCCGGAUUGUUCUCUGCAACUCGAGAGCAUGAAGUCGGAAUCGCUAGUAAUCGCAGGUCAGCAUACUGCGGUGAAUACGUUCCCGGGUCUU